AUCACGUGGUGUCAGGCUGUCUUAUUACAGUUUGGUCAACAAAAAAUUCGGGAAUACUUUUCCAGAAAACUUGUGACGUCAGCACGCUCUUAACCGUGCGAAAUCAGAUGAGAUGUCUGCGUCUCAACUUCCGCAUUUUUCUGAAGGUCA
ensembl:ncRNA F14D1.2 ncRNA